AAUCUCUAAAGAAAUAAGGAAUAUCGAAAUCUAUUUUACACUAUGUAACGUGUCCUUAAUCUCUCUUUGAACAACUUGCAUUGACGAUCUUUGCCAGAUCCGGGUCAACUAUUUCCGCAACAAAAUUCUUCAAAAUCCGCCUCAACCAUUUCUACUGUGAUUUCUGCUUUCUCUCACUCUUCAAUCCGCGUUCCAAUUAUGUUUGGUACUUUCAGGUUUGUGAAUUGGAAAAUAGGAAGUGGAAUUUUUGAAGUAAGGGAGUAACUGAUUAGGAGAAUGUGGGGUACACUCACUUGCACAUCACAACCACUGAUGAGUUACUUCCUUGGUACUUUCAAAGCUGCGUACAACUGAUUUGGUGAGUGGUUUUCUUGGAGUAAAUUACCAUUUUGUCCCUAAAAGUAUAGGACUUUUGUCUCUUAUUAAGUCAAAAUUCGAAAUUAGUCCUCGCAUGAUGUUAGUCACUUAUACCCCUUACUUUAUAAUAAUCAAAUACUAUUUUGAUACUAAAUUAUAUUUUGUAGAUAUUUUUAUGAUAGUAAAUUGUAUCUUUUAAGAAUUAUUUGGAUUGUUUCAGAACUAAUUUUAGUUUUUGGCUGAGUUAGAGAUUAAAGUAACAUUACUUUUAAGAACUAAAAUGGUGCUUUAUCUUGUGUCCAAUGGUA